rnacentral:lncRNA from 1 species
AAAGGCUGUUAGUGUUCCUCAGAUACAAGAAAUGAUGAGCAAGUUGGAAAUAAAUUUUACAUGAUUCUUUCCCAAAUCCUUUACUACUGUUUUUGUCUUUCUUUUUUAUUUUUCCCCUUUCUUUUAUUUCUUCUUUCCCUUAUUUAUUUGUUUAUUUAUAUUGUUAUAGAGUAGUCAAGUCAUUUCCAUGAGUUUUUUAUUAUUAUGGAUUAGAAAACUAAAACUGAUAUUAUAACCACCAGAGCAAUAGUAAAAGCCACAUAUAAUGGUGAUUGACCUCUUUUCUUAUUCUUAGUUUCGAAUUAAUGGAAUUUUAAAAUAAAUAUCCUUUUUUCUUAUGUUUCUUUAUCUUUCUUUUUAGACUUAUUUAAAUUUCCAUCUUCAUAUUCAAAAUUUGAUUUCUAUCGAAUUGACAUUUAUUCUUGUCUGAUGUUUUUUAUUAUGAUUUAUUAUUAUUUAUGGUUGGUAUCUUUUCCAUUUUCAAAUUGUAAUUUAUUAUUGAUCUAUGAGUUUUAAUACUUUUCUAUACUCUGCGCCUAAACUAUGAUUUUUCCUUUUAAGUAAGACAUAAAAUGUCAUUGUGUAUUAUUAAUUUAUUUAAUGAACUAAUUUGUUGCUUAUGAGUAAAAAUCCAGAGGGCUAAUACUUGCUAGUAUUAUAUAUUUCCAACUUCAAUAUGCUGGUCAUGCUGCUGAUUGUAGGCACUAGAUGUUGCUGAUCAUGUUAUUGGGAUGUACUGCUUUAUCAUGCGGGUAAGAUUCGGUAGACUUAAAGUGUAUCAUUUUGAUGUCAUGCCUGUAACAUUUAAGUUUUAUAUUUUCUCAAUACUAAUAAAUUGUUUAUAAAUUUGAAGGAAAACACGAGAAGGUAAUUAAUUGGUUGAUUUCGAUACUUUAUUUGAUUUUUUUUUAAUUUAUAUUCUGUAACCAUUUGAAUGAAAAGGAAUGGUACAAUACCUCUUAAAAAGUUCAUGACAAAAUCAGUGACUUUACUACAUGAAAUCUCUAGAUUUGUCAAGCUUCCAUGUUCUAGAAUCAAAUUGAAUCAAAUAGAUGUAUAAUUAGUUACUAAAACACGCGUCUAAUAAAACAUUUUCUAGAUUCUCACUUGAGGAAAUUCAACUUUACUUGGGAGAAACAUGUGUUGAUUCUUAAAAUGGAGUUAAUUACCUAAAUAUGAGCUAUUCAGUAGUGAAAAUGAAAAUACACUGACGACAUUGAUGAAAAUUCUGAUAAUUUAACUUAGGUGAACUUUUGAGCUAUUGUGACCAAUAGGAUAUAAGAUGCAACAAACAUGAUAGAGGAUUCAUAUCGGAAUCUAUUAUGCAAUUAUAUCACUUCAUAUUGAGAGAUUCCAACUUUGAACUUUUGAGCUAUUGUGACCAAUAGGAUAUAAGAUGCAACAAACAUGAUAGAGGAUUCAUAUCGGAAUCUAUUAUGCAAUUAUAUCACUUCAUAUUGAGAGAUUCCAACUUAAAUAAAACCAAUGGCCUUUUGCUCUACAUUUCAUUUUCAUGUCGUGUGUCACGACACCAGUGGUUUGUAAAAUUAUUUGGUUGAAAUUUCCAUUUACUUCACUUCUAUUUUUAAAAAAUAAUGAUUCCCUCUCUUCCCUCUCUAUGCUUUCACAACUUCAUUUUCACUCUCUCCCCUAUCAAGACUAUAUUCUGAUCUAUAGCUUCCACAACAACUUGCUUCUUCUCCACCUCCUCUAAGUGCAUCCCUUACCUUGAUUCUUUCAUUUAUAGAAUUAUUCUUAUUUUCGCUUUGAUUUGUCCUCUCUUUUAUAGCUUCAAAUAAGAUUUUGGAUCACAAUAAGUUCUCAUUUUUUUACGUCUCUGAUCGAAAAUCGAAGUAAAAAGGAAGCAUUACGAGCAUAACACACAACCUGCAAAAUAUAUAUGAAGAAGACAAUCAAUGUCUAAAUGGAAUGAAGAGGGAAGAGCAUAUAAAUAUUCAUGAAUUGUGAGAUAAAAUUAGAACUAGGGAUUAUAUAAAUUUACUCAGAUCUUCCAUUUUCAACAUAAUACUUUACUAAUUAUUUUUCUACAAAGCCAGGUACAAUUAAUGAAAGGCUGUUAGUGUUCCUCAGAUACAAGAAAUGAUGAGCAAGUUGGAAAUAAAUUUUACAUGAUUCUUUCCCAAAUCCUUUACUACUAUUUUUGUCUUUCUUUUUUAUUUUUCCCCUUUCUUUUAUUUCUUCUUUCCCUUAUUUAUUUGUUUAUUUAUAUUGUUAUAGAGUAGUCAAGUCAUUUCCAUGAAUUUUUUAUUAUUAUGGAUUAGAAAACUAAAACUGAUAUUAAAACCACCAGAGCAAUAGUAAAAGCCACAUAUAAUGGUAAUUGACCUCUUUUCUUAUUCUUAGUUUCGAAUUAAUGGAAUUUUAAAAUAAAUAUCCUUUUUU